GACGAACGCUGGCGGCGUGCUUAACACAUGCAAGUCGAACGGAAAGGCCCUGCUCUUGUUGGGUGCUCGAUUGGCGAACGGGUGAGUAAAACGUGUGUAACCUCCCCUUGUCUUUCGGAUAACUUCAGGAAACUGGGGCUAAUACAGGAUAGGAGCUCCUGCUGCAUGGGGGUGGUUGGAAAGUUUCGGCGGUUGUGGAUGGACUCGCGGCUUACCCGCUUGUUAGUGUAGUAGUGGCUUACCAAGGCUUAGACGGGUAGCCGGCAUGGGAGGGGGGCCGGCGACCAUGCGACUAAGAUAGGGACCAGUAGGGAACGGGAGGCAGAGGUGGGGAAUAUUGCGGAAUGGGGGGAAGUCAGAUGUGGCGGUGUCGCGUGCGUGAAGCCCGGUUACGGGUUGUGAACCGAUUUCGAAUGUGACGAAGCGGGAGUGACGGUAAUGGAUAAAAAAGCACCGGCUAACUACGUG
rnacentral:rRNA from 1 species